CCUACGGGUGGCAGCAGUGAGGAAUAUUGGUCAAUGGCCGUAAGUCUGAACCAGCCAAGUAGCGUGAGGGAAGACGGCCCUAUGGGUUGUAAACCUCUUUUCUACGGAGAUAAAGGUGUCCACGUGUGGAUGUUUGCAGGUACCGCAUGAAUAAGGACCGGCUAAUUCCGUGCCAGCAGCCGCGGUAAUACGGAAGGUCCGGGCGUUCUCCGGAUUUAUUGGGUUUAAAGGGAGCGUCGGCCGGUCUUUAAGCGUGCCGUGAAAUUUUGUGGCGCAACCAUGGGAGUGCGGCGCGAACUGGAGAACUUGAGGGCGCGGAAGGCAGGCGGAAUUCGUGGUGUAGCGGUGAAAUGCUUAGAGAUCACGAAGAACCCAGAUUGCGAAGGCAGCCUGCCGCAGCGUUACUGACGCUGAAGCUCGAAAGCGCGGGUAUCGAACAGGAUUAGAUACCCGAGUAGUC
rnacentral:rRNA from 1 species